GAUGGGGUUAAGGGCAUUCUGUUAGCAGAGAAGUAUGCUUGAAGUACGGCAGCAUAAUAGGGGUGAACAUAGUGAGCUUACUGUUAUAUAUGGUGAGAAGGCUGAAGAGAAGGGGUUUGGUUUGAGAUUGGAUUCAGAUUGGGCAAAUUCUUAAAUGCUAUACUAGGGCAUUAGCAAUUCUGUAAGCCAAGAAAACAUCAAAGGUUUUUUUGUUUCUGGUUUUGAUUUUUGCUCUCGCGUUGUACUGACAUGCUUGGAUCUGCCUUUUAGAGAAUGAAGUGCUGGCAGUGUGGAGGAGAAGACUGGAGGUGAGAGAGCCUGGGAGCAGAGAGGUCAGACACAACAAGAUGACCAACUACAAAGCAGGAAGUGCCCUCACCAUACACCAGAUCUGCGAGGAUCUUGAUCUUACACUUCCUAGCCUCCAGAGCCAUGAGAAAUAAAUGUCUGUUGUUUAAGCCA